GACAAACGGGUCGAGUUAAGGUUAUUUCAGAAUAAAAGGAAGUUAGAGAGUUUUGGUUUAUAGAAGAAACUUUAAGUUGUUUUAUAGAGGUGGAAUUUGUAUAAAAUGGUUUAAUUUUUUAUUUUCUUGUUCUUGAUGCUUCGAGAAUUUAGUGGGAGACCGGGAUUAGAUACCCCGUUAUUUAUUUUGUAAACUUUAGUUUAAUUGCUUAUUUGGGGAUUACGAGCUUAUUUUUAUUUAAUAGAUUAUAAAAAUAUUGUGCUUAAAACUCAAAAAACUUGGCGGUGCCUUAUUUCUUUCCAGGGGAACCUGUCCUAUAAUCGAUGGUCCACGGUUUAACUUUCCUUUAUUUGUAUAAUAAUUUAUGGUUAUUAAGCAGUUUGUAUACCGUCGUCGUCAGAUUAUCUUUGAGGGUUAUAGAAGUUGUCAGAAAAAUGUGAUGUGGAAAUUUAUUUUGUUUUUCUGCUGUUGUGGGAGAGUAAGCUCUAAUAGAGUUAUUUUAAAUUUAAAUUGAUAUGGAGGUUUUGAUGUCAGAUCAAGGUGCAGCUUAUAUAAAGGUAGAGAUGGGUUACAGUAAACAUUUAAUAUACGGAUUUUGCUUUGUAAUUGGCAAAUGAAGGUGGACUUGGGAGUAAUAUAAAUCUUUGGGAGUAGAGAGCUUUAAUGAAUGAGGUACUAAGGUGUGU
rnacentral:rRNA from 1 species